rnacentral:rRNA from 1 species
GACGAACGCUGGCGGCGUGCUUAACACAUGCAAGUCGAACGGAAAGGCCCUGCUUGCAGGGUACUCGAGUGGCGAACGGGUGAGUAACACGUGGGUGAUCUGCCCUGCACUUCGGGAUAAGCCUGGGAAACUGGGUCUAAUACCGGAUAGGAGCCAUUUUUAGUGUGAUGGUUGGAAAGUUUUUUCGGUGUAGGAUGAGCUCGCGGCCUAGCAGCUUGUUGGUGGGGUAAUGGCCUACCAAGGCGGCGACGGGUAGCCGGCCUGAGAGGGUGGACGGCAACCUUGGGACUGAGGUACGGCCCAGACACCUACGGGAGGCAGCAGUGGGGAAUAUUGCACAAUGGGCGCAAGCCUGAUGCAGCGACGCCGCGUGGGGGAUGACGGUCUUCGGGUUGUAAACUCCUUUCGCUAGGGACGAAGCUUUUUGUGACGGUACCUAGAUAAGAAGCACCGGCUAACUACGUG